rnacentral:misc_RNA from 1 species
GAUGAAGAACGUAGCGAAAUGCGAUACUUGGUGUGAAUUGCAGAAUCCCGUGAACCAUCGAGUCUUUGAACGCAAGUUGCGCCCGAAGCCAUUAGGCCGAGGACACGCCUGCCUGGGCGUCACACGUCGUUGCCCCCCCAUCUACUCCUUCGGGAUUGCGGGGGGCGGAUGAUGGCCUCCCGUGCGCCUCGCCGCGCGGUUGGCAUAAAUGCCAAGUCCUCGGCGACGCACGCCACGACAAUCGGUGGUUGCGAAACCUCGGUUGCCCGUCGUGUGCGGUCGUCGCGCAUCGAGGGCUCGAAAAAAUUGCCGGGUUCCGGCUCGGCUUUCAACGCGACCCCAGGUCAGGCGGGGUUACCCGCUGAAUUUAAGCAUAUCAAUAAGCGGAGGA